CCUACGGGUGGCAGCAGUGAGGAAUAUUGGUCAAUGGACGAGAGUCUGAACCAGCCAAGUAGCGUGAAGGAUGACUGCCCUAUGUGUUGUAAACUUCUUUUAUAAAGGAAUAAAACGAGCCACGCGUGCCUUUUUGCAUGUACUUUAUAAAAAAGGAUCGGCUAAACCCGUGCCAGCAGCCGAGGUAAUACGGAGGAUCCGAGGUUUUUCCGGAUUUGUUGGGUUUAAAGGGAGCGUAGAUGGGUUGUUAAGUCAGUUGUGAAAGUUUGCGGCUCAACCGUACAAUUGCGAUUGAAACUGGUAGUCUUGAGUACAGUUGAGGUAAGCGGAAUGCGUGGUGUAGCGGUGAAAUGCUUAGAUAUCACGAAGAACCCCGAUUGCGAAGGCAGCUUACUAAACUGUGACUGACAUUGAUGCUCGAAAGUGUGGGUAUCAAACAGGAUUAGAUACCCCUGUAGUC
rnacentral:rRNA from 1 species